rnacentral:rRNA from 1 species
CCUACGGGGGGCUGCAGUGGGGAAUAUUGCACAAUGGGGGAAACCCUGAUGCAGCGACGCCGCGUGAGUGAAGAAGUAACUCGUUAUGUAAAGCCUUAUCAGCAGGGAAGAAAAUGACGGUACCUGAGUAAGAAGCCACGGCUAACUACGUGCCAGCAGCCGCGGUAAUACGUAGGGGGCAAGCGGUAUCCGGAUUUACUGGGUGGAAAGGGAGCGUAGUCGGGACUGCAAGUCUGGAGUGAAAGGCGGGGGGUCAACCCCCGGACUGCUGUGGAAACUGUACGGCUGGAGUGCAGGAGAGGUAAGUGGAAUGCCUAGUGUAGCGGUGAAAUGCGUAGAUAUUAGGAGGAACACCAGUGGCGAAGGCAGCUUACUGGACUGUAACUGACGCUGAGGCUCGAAGGCGUGGGGAGCGAACAGGAUUAGAUACCCGAGUAGUC